rnacentral:rRNA from 1 species
UAGAGAGGCGCCUUCGGGCGCGCGCGCCGCUCAAGUCCCUUGGAAGAGGGUAUCGGAGAGGGUGAGAAUCCCGUACCGUGGCCGCGCGCGCCCUCACGAUGCGUGCUCGUCGAGUCGGGUUGCUUGGGAUUGCAGCUUGAAGUGGGUGGUAAAUUCCAUCUAAAGCUAAAUACUGGCGAGAGACCGAUAGCGAACAAGUACCGUGAGGGAAAGAUGCAAAGAACUUUGAAAAGAGAGUCAAAGAGUGCUUGAAAUCGGCAGGAGGAAACCCGGAUGGGCCCGGCUUCGGCGCGCCGACUCAGCCGCCCGCUCGGGGCGGUGCACUUUGUCGCGCCGGGUCAGCCGCCGCUCUGCGCGCGUCACAAGCGGGGAGUAGGGCUCCGGCGAGCUCCCCCUCUGCCUCUCGCGGGGCGCCGGCUGACGGAACGGGCCCCUCCGACCCGUCUAGAAACACGGACCAAGGAGUCUGACACGUGUGCGAGUACCCGGGUGGCAAUCCCGCGUGCGGAAUGAAAGUGAAGGGCACGCCCUGCCAACCGACCUGGACCUUCUGCGAAGGGUUUGAGUGGAGCACACCUGUCGGGACCCGAAAGAUGGUGAACUAUGCCUGGGUAGGGUGAAGCCAGAGGAAACUCUGGUGGAGGCUCGUAGCGAUACUGACGUGCAAAUCGUUCGUCGAACCUGGGUAUAGGGGCGAAAGACUAAUCGAACCAUCUAGUAGCUGGUUCCCUCCGAAGUUUCCCUCAGGAUAGCUUGAACGCAACGGUUUUGUCAGGUAAAGCGAAUGAUUAGAGGCCUUGGGGCUGAAACAGCCUUAACCUAUUCUCAAACUUUAAAUGGG